rnacentral:rRNA from 1 species
CCGUAACUGACGCUGAGACACGAAAGCGUGGGUAGCAAACAGGAUUAGAUACCCUGGUAGUCCACGCCCUAAACGAUGCAUAUUUGGUGUGGGUCAUUCAGUUGAUCCGUGCCGGAGCUAACGCGUUAAAUAUGCCGCCUGGGGAGUACAGUCGCAAGGCUGAAACUCAAAGGAAUUGACGGGGGCCCGCACAAGCGGUGGAGCAUGUGGUUCAAUUCGACGCAACGCGAAGAACCUUACCUGGGCUCGAACGGCUGGUUACCGGCGGUGGAAACAUCGCUACCCCGCAAGGGGGUCCAGUCGAGGUGCUGCAUGGCUGUCGUCAGCUCGUGUCGUGAGAUGUUGGGUUAAGUCCCGCAACGAGCGCAACCCUUGUCCUGUGUUGCCAUCAUUCAGUUGGGAACUCGCAGGAGACCGCCAGCGAUAAGCUGGAGGAAGGUGGGGAUGACGUCAAGUCCUCAUGGCCUUUAUGUCCAGGGCUACACACGUGCUACAAUGGGCGGUACAAAGCGCAGCAAACCCGCGAGGGGGAGCCAAUCGCAAAAAACCGUUCUCAGUUCGGAUUGCAGGCUGCAACUCGCCUGCAUGAAGCUGGAAUCGCUAGUAAUGGCAGAUCAGCACGCUGCCGUGAAUACGUUCCCGGGCCUUGUACACACCGCCCGUCACAUCACGAAAGUGGAUUGUACUAGAAGUCUGUACGCUGACCCGCAAGGGAGGCAGCGGCCCAAGGUAUGAUUCAUGAUUGGGGUGAAGUCGUAACAAGGUAGCCGUAGGAGAACCUGCGGCUGGAUCACCUCCUU